UAGAAAUUGCUUUAAAUAUGUCCCAGAGAUUCUGACACGUUGUGCCUUCGUUCUCAUUGGUUUUGAAGAACAUCUUUAUUUCUGCCUUUAUUUUAUUGUUUAUCCAGUUGUCCUUCAGGAGCAGUUAGUUCGGUUUCCAUGUAGUUGCACAGUUUUGAGUGCUUUUUAAAUCCUGAGUUCUAAUUUGAUUGCACUGUGGUCUGAGAGACUGAUUGUUAUGGUUUCUGUUCUUUUGCAUUUGCUGAGGAGUGAUUUACUUCCAAUUAUGUAGUCAAUUUUAGAAUAAGUGCAAUGUGGUGCUGAGAAGAAUGUAUAUUCUGUGGACUUGGGGUGGAGAGUUCUGUAGAUGUCUAUCAGGUCCAUUUGGUCCAGAUCUGCACUGAAGUAGUUUAUGUUUUUCUCUAAGCAGAUUAUUCUAAUUAGCAUUUUAUCUGACCUUUUUUCAAAGUUUUUAGUUUCUUUGCUUUGGGUUAGAACAUGUUCCUUUAGCUCAGAGAAGUUUGUUAUUACUCACCUUCUGAAGCCUACUUCUGUCAAUUCAUCAAAUUCAUUCUUUACCCUAUUUUGUUCUCUUGCUAGUGCGGAGUUGUGAUCCCUUGGAGAAGAGGCAUUCUGUUUUUUGGUGAUUUCACCCUUUGUAUGCUGUUUUUUUCCCAUCUUCAUGGAUAUAUCUACCUUUGGUCUUUGGAGUUGGUGAAUUUGAACGGGGUCUCUGAGUGUACAUUUUUUCUGUUGAUGUUGAAGCUUUUCUUCUUCUUCUUUUUUUUUUUUUUUUUAGUUUUCUUUCUAACAGAUCCCUCUGCUGUAGGACUGCUGGAGGUCCACUCAAGACCUUGCUUGCCUGGGAAUCACCUGUGGGGGCUGCAGAACAGCAAGGAUUACUGCCUGUUCUUUCCUCCAUUAGCUUUGUCCCAGAAGUGUACCUGCUGGAUGUCAGCCAGAGCUCUCCUGUAUGAGAGACAAGUUCCAAUUCUGUCACCCAUGCUGAACUGCAAUGGUACAAUCCUAGCUCACUGCAGCCUCGAACUUCAAGCUCAAGUGAUUCUCCAGGUAAAUAAAUAAUUUGGCAUAUAAAACAGUUAUAUUAAAGAAGGAAAACUGAACUAAUAGAGAAGAAGCAUAAAGGUAAAUGUUUAUAAAAAC
rnacentral:lncRNA from 1 species